GCAGUAGCCACGGUAAUACGAAGGGUGCAAGCGUUAAUCGGAAUUACUGGGCGUAAAGCGUGCGUAGGCGGCUUCUUAAGUCGGAUGUGAAAUCCCUGAGCUUAACUUAGGAAUUGCAUUCGAUACUGGGAAGCUAGAGUAUGGGAGAGGAUGGUAGAAUUCCAGGUGUAGCGGUGAAAUGCGUAGAGAUCUGGAGGAAUACCGAUGGCGAAGGCAGCCAUCUGGCCUAAUACUGACGCUGAGGUACGAAAGCAUGGGGAGCAAACAGGAUUAGAUACCCCGGUAGUCCCUGUCUCUUAUAA
rnacentral:rRNA from 1 species